AGUGAACGCUGGCGGUAGGCCUAACACAUGCAAGUCGAACGGCGGCACAGUAAGAGCUUGCUCUUACGGGUGGCGAGUGGCGGACGGGUGAGGAAUACAUCGGAAUCUACUUUUUCGUGGGGGAUAACGUAGGGAAACUUACGCUAAUACCGCAUACGACCUACGGGUGAAAGCAAGGGAUCUUCGGACCUUGCGCGAUUGAAUGAGCCGAUGUCGGAUUAGCUAGUUGGCGGGGUAAAGGCCCACCAAGGCGACGAUCCGUAGCUGGUCUGAGAGGAUGAUCAGCCACACUGGAACUGAGACACGGUCCAGACUCCUACGGGAGGCAGCAGUGGGGAAUAUUGGACAAUGGGCGCAAGCCUGAUCCAGCCAUACCGCGUGGGUGAAGAAGGCCUUCGGGUUGUAAAGCCCUUUUGUUGGGAAAGAAAAGCAGCAGGUUAAUACCCCGCUGUUCUGACGGUACCCAAAGAAUAAGCACCGGCUAACUUCGUG
rnacentral:rRNA from 1 species